rnacentral:piRNA from 1 species
CAGAGGAAACUUUAUUCUGAAGGGA